AUAAAACUGGAAACGCUGUUCGAUCAAAGUAUGCUGAAAUUUUCAUUUCUUUGUUUUCAUUUUAUAGUGACAAGUUCAGUAGUAGAAGAAAAAUUAAUUAUCACGGAAUUUUGAAAAAUAAUUAAUCCUCUUGUAUUUUUGGAUAUACAAAACGGCGAUGUACACGGUAUGGAUUCUAGUUGCAUUUCCCGCUCACUUAUUUAUGUACUUUGUCACUUCUACAGUUAAGUAGCCUCAUUACUGCCACAGCUCCGGCGGGUGUAGUUUCUGCGAUGGCUUAUGUACAUGACCCUUUCGACACGUGUUAGCCGUUACGGAAGAACGAAAGGUACAAAUCAGGUGCGCCCUGACGAAGCUGAACUCCCCCAUCGCCUCGCUAGUACAAUCUAGCUACAUUACUUGUGACAAAUGCCGCACAACACUCAUACAGCAGCUACUUAUUUCCGAGAGCUACUUUCAGAUUCGACCCAGCUAAGAAGAAUGAGUGAUCAGAUAUCGAAAACGCAUGCUGAUGAAUUACCACAUUUUUCUUUGGAACCGAAACCCGAAAUGCGCAUCAGGGGAGCAAAUGAGAAGAUUUACGUUAUUGGCGGGAUGGGAGAGGAAAAAGUUUAAAUGAGUGAGUUGCAGAGCGUUUUCGUCGAUUUUAUGGAUCCGGAUCACAAGAUAAAACAAAGUAAUUUGGGACUUGAUGACGCGGCUAAAGGAGGAUUGUUCAUUACCCAUUCGGCAUCGAUGUCCACAUUGUAAUAAAGGGUUUGCCGACAAGUACCUGAUAACAACGCACAUCCAAUGGCACACGGGAGAAAAGCCCUUUAAAUGUGAAUUUUGUGGAAAAGGAUUUUGCGAAAACCAAAAACUUACUCUACACGUGCAGACCCACACAGGUGAACACCUUUCUGCUUGAAAACAUUCACUCAAUCGAUAACGCUUAAGAUACACAUCAGGGUGCACACCCGGAGAACUCCGUACGUGUGCGAAUACUGCGACCGAGGGUUCACUCAAUCCUAUAAUUUGUGAACCCAACACAAUCAUAACGGUGUACCGAGGAUGCGAAGUCGGCGUGCUGACCGAGCACAAAUUUCGAGUACAUGUCAAGGUCUACCGAUCAGCGAAAAGUUUCUGGCUGCACGAGAAGUUGCAUGCCACCGAGAAACUGUUCGAUUGUCGCGAUUGUGGUAUAAAGUAUACCUAUGUGCACAAAUGCAAGGCUUCUAAGGCCGUAGUGAAGGAGAAGAUGUAUUUGUGUAAAAUCUGCAGCCAAACAUUCAAGCAUCAGCAGAGCGUCGUGUACCACAUGAGCGACAAACACAGGCGAUUCGACAGAAAUUUGAGAGAUCUAGAGAAGGACGAAGAAUAGGCGAUUUGCGGAAGCUGAAAUAACGUUCUCGUUCCUGAAUUGUUAAAGCUACCAAUUACAACCAAGGUUACCGGGUAACCUAAGCAAUUUGCCCUCGGCAUGUUUUUGGCAAGUGGUGAUGAUAGUGUACGCGUUUUUUGGCAGUAUUUGACGCACCAGUAUUAGUAGCGUAAAUAUCCAGUUACACACGCAAAUCAGUUGACCACGGAUUUCCUUGCGCUUCCGAAGGAGAAUUGGCAGACACUUCGUGUGACGGAUCUACAGUUCCUUUUGCGCCGCUUUGGACCUUGGACUCAGCUAUGCAGCCAAACCGCAUCGCGCUAGCUUCGUCCAUAGCGCACCUCUCAUAUUCUAUGCAAGAUGUGUCUAUCCGAAAUCGUUCUAUGACUCCCCUACCAUAGACAGGGGUUACCCAUUUUGAGCCUCAUUUCAACGAUUGUAGGCCUGGCAUACUUAAAAUGAUUUUUUAUUCAUGCACAUUUGUGAGACACACACCUCUAUCUUGAGUGGCGUGUGAAGCGACUAAUCUUACUAUACACUACGUGACACUCCUCAUCCGAUUCUGAGAGUCAAAUUGAGAGAGGUGGGCUUUCCUAUUGCAACUAAAUAAACGUUUGUAACCCGAAGUAACUCUUCAGAAUCAGGUGAGAAAAAUCGUUUUCUCUGAUAGGAGAUAUGGCGUCUCACAUCAAACGCCAUGCAGGAUAAAGAAGACCUGGUACCAUAUUUUUAAAAUUUAUUUAAAUGCACCAUCCGGUGCUACACGUGGUUAAUGGUUAAGGUGCAGAGAACUAUGAACUGAGACCGGAACUUGAUCCGAACCACGUUACACGUUGCAGUGCUUCAAAAAUAAGCAAACGGCCUGGAGGAUCGUGACGAAUUAAUGUUUUUUUAAAAGUCUCUAAUAAAAAUUAAGUAAG